CUCCUAACUUGUGUGCAGUUGAUGCAAACUGUUGUUCAAAUGUCUAAUAAGGUGAAAUUGUUCAAAUGUCUAAUAAGGUGAAAUUUCUCCGAGCGGAGUUUCAUCAGUGUUUAAGCAAACUGCAAGUGUAUAAUACUAGUAUGUCUUAAUGUCUGCUAACAAUCGUGGAAGAGAAGAGAUGGGCUAGAUUAUUCCACUGUCAACUAAUUUUAAAGAUGUAAAACAAUGCUACGGAAGACACUAGCAAAGAUAUGCUUCUUCAGAUUCAGACAGUCAGAUGUUUGGUAGGGAAAGCUUAAGACGGCGACCAUUCAGUUUAGUCUAUUGAGAUGAGGCAUCUGGAGAAAUUAAUGAUGCAAAGACGCUGUUGGGGUUUGUCUACGUUUACUGUGUGGUCUUGAUGACAAAGUGGACUGUCAACCUGAGCAAAAGGCUUAUAGUAAGCACAAAGAAUCAUACUGUAACUAACAGCCGUACUGUUGGUUAAUUAUGCAUUCUCAGAGCUCCAGCUUAUUGAGAUGAGGCAUCUGGAGGAAAUAAUGAUUCAAAGGCGCUGUUGGGGUUUGUCCGUAAUCAAAAUUAGGUCAUUAAUUGUAAUUUAGGUGGCAUCUUGAUGACAAAUAGGACUGUCAAGCUGAGCAAAACGCUGACAGUAAGCACAAAGAAUCAGAUAGUAACUAGCAGCCGUCAGCUGUUGGAAAUUAUGCAUUCUCGGAGCGUGGAGCUGAUGAUUGUGUCUGCCAUUUGUUUAUGUUCUUAAGAAACAAGAAGGUGGUAGGCAUCGGCUGAUUUCACAGACUCACAAACCAGUUUUACAUGAGAACUACUGAUAUUUACUGGAAGAGUUGCUACACUUAUGAAUAUUAAAGAUGAGUCAAUAAAGCUUAUGACAGUUGAUUGUGUUAAGAUGCCUGUUGAGCUUGUAAUGCAUGUUGCUUGUUCUCAAGAUAUGGGGUUUGCUUUAAGAGAAAGUGGAAGAACUAUUGGAGCUGCUGAGUUCAGGUCUAUUAACUAUCGAGUGAAAUUUAAUAGUUCCCACAAUUCAUUGGUUCAUUUCCAGGUCUCAGUUUUUUUCAAAUCAAAUUGCGGUAUCAAGUUAAAAUGUACGUGGUGUGUCAUUUCACUUGGUUGUUCUGACAUCUUUCUUUGUCAUAUUUGCAGUUUUAUUCUAGUCUAUGUGUGGUUGUAUUUGAGUUUCGUUUAGUUAAAGAAUGAUGAACUGGUAAGGCUUUAGUCCAUCAAAUUCUAUCUGUUGUUUCUGUUCAGUUUGAUGUUUGU